rnacentral:snoRNA from 14 species
CCACCCAAGGCAACAAAUUCCAAUCGUGUGAUCUUCUCGCAACACGAUUGAGCCGACGCCUUGGGAAAGCAUUGUCUUUGACCAUUUGAUCCCACUCUCGCUACUCAAUUGGUGAUUGUGGUUUGCACAUGGUCCACAC